AUCGAACCAUCCUUGCUUGAUUUCAACAUCAUUAUCCAAAAGCCAUGAAAACUUAUCUCUUUCACUCUCAAUUAUAUUACUGAGCUCCCACAGAUGCUCAGAAUUCAAUUUAUCACCAGAAUACACUUUACUCUCACUGGAAAGCUCUUGCAAUUUGAGUUUCUCAAUCUUCUCCCAAGGCCUUCCCACCAUUCUUUCAUCAUUUUUGGCCUUCACCUCUUUCUUGAAG
rnacentral:misc_RNA from 1 species